GCUGGCGGCGUGCCUCAGACAUGCAAGUCGAACGAUUAAAGCUCACUUCGGUGAGUGUAUAAAGUGGCGCACGGGUGAGUAACACGUAAGUAAUCUACCCUCGGGUGGGGAAUAACCCAAGGAAACUUGGGCUAAUACCGCAUAAUGCAGCGGCUUCUUAGGAAGACAGUUGUUAAAGCAUUUAUGCGCCUGAGGAGGAGCUUGCGGCAGAUUAGCUAGUUGGUAAGGUAAUGGCUUACCAAGGCAACGAUCUGUAGCCGGCCUGAGAGGGCGGUCGGUCACACUGACACUGAAUAACGGGUCAGACUCCUACGGGAGGCAGCAGUCGGGAAUUUUGGGCAAUGGGCGAAAGCCUGACCCAGCAACGCCGCGUGAAGGAUGAAGUCCCUCGGGAUGUAAACUUCGGAAAUAUGGGAAGAAUAAAUGACGGUACCAUAUCUAAGGUCCGGCUAACUACGUGCCAGCAGCCGCGGUAAUACGUAGGGACCAAGCGUUGUUCGGAUUUACUGGGCGUAAAGGGUGCGUAGGCGGCGCGUCAAGUCACUUGUGAAAUCUCCGGGCUUAACUCGGAACGGCCAAGUGAUACUGUCGUGCUAGAGUGCAGAAUGGGCAACUGGAAUUCU
rnacentral:rRNA from 1 species